rnacentral:rRNA from 1 species
AAUGGGCGCAAGCCUGACGGAGCAAUACCGCGUGAGGGAGGAAGGCUCUUGGGUCGUAAACCUCUUUUAUCAGGGAAGAACACAAUGACGGUACCUGAUGAAUCAGCAUCGGCUAACUCUGUGCCAGCAGCCGCGGUAAUACAGAGGAUGCAAGCGUUAUCCGGAAUUAUUGGGCGUAAAGCGUCCGCAGGUGGUUUUGGUAGUCUGCUGUCAAAGCGCGAGGCUCAACUUCGUAUCGGCGGUGGAAACUCCAAGACUAGAGUUUGGUAGGGGUCACGGGAAUUCCCAGUGUAGCGGUGAAAUGCGUAGAUAUUGGGAAGAACACCAGCGGCGAAGGCGCGUGACUGGGCCUGAACUGACACUCAUGGACGAAAGCUAGGGGAGCGAAAGGGAUUAGAUACCCC